rnacentral:rRNA from 1 species
AGGAUUCUUCUCAGUAACGGCGAGUGAACAGAGAUUAGCCCAGCACCGAAGCCUAUUCGCGUUUGUGAACAAGGCAAUGUGGUGUUUAGGUGUUUGCCUGGGACCGUCGGUUUAUUCGAAGUCCAGCAUAGAUUAUGGCCCUGGAUUUUUCCCAGAGCGGGUGAAAGGCCCGUACGGAUAAACCUUCAAGCAUGUUGACGGUCUUCAGUUGCAUUCACUUUGGAGUCGGAUAGUUUGAGAAUGCUGUCCAAAGUGGGUGGUAAACUCCAUCCAAGGCUAAAUACCUGCACGAAUCCGAUAGUAGACAAGUACCGUGAGGGAAAGUUGAAAAGUACUCUGAAGAGAGAGUAAAUAGUACGUGAAGCCGCCUGUAUGGAAGCUGGUGGAGUCAAGCUGCAUGCCCUUGGUAAUAAAUUAGCGACAGUUGUGGCAUUAUCCAGAUGGAUUGUUGACGGCCUUGUAAGAAGACCGACGGAUUCUUCCGUUCCAUGAGCGUACUGGUUAGUGCGUAUGGGGUCAAUGGUUCUAUUCUUGGUGUCGCUGAUGCAUUUUCCUUGUGGCAGACAUCACGAUCGGUAUUACUGUUGGCAUAUGGUAGGCAAACCAUCAGUUUGCGGAUUUCUAAUUCGCGUCUGAUGGGAUGGCAGGUUGCUUGCUUGAUCGCCUUUGUGUGGUCUUGUGAGUGUUUUGUGGCUUUGGCCGGCCGCUUACCAUUUGUAACAUUCAGCCAUGCAUUGUACCGUUGUCUAUGUCGUGUAAUGCUUUUGUGUCCUGUUCUCUGGCUGGUGCAAUCUCGUUUCUACGCAAGUAGUGCGGGGUCGUAAUUACCUAGUGGAGUGGGGCUAUGAUUGUGUUACAACUAGAAU